UACAGAGAGUGCGAGCGUUAAUCAGAAUUACUGGGCGUAAAGCGCAUGUAGGUGGAUAACUAAGUCGAAUGUGAAAGCCCUGAGCUUAACUUGGGAAUUGCAUCCGAUACUGGUUGUCUAGAGUAUGGUAGAGGGAAGUGGAAUUUCCGGUGUAGCGGUGAAAUGCGUAGAUAUCGGAAGGAACACCAGUGGCGAAAGCGGCUUCCUGGACUAAUACUGACACUGAGAUGCGAAAGCGUGGGGAGCAAACAGG
rnacentral:rRNA from 1 species